rnacentral:rRNA from 1 species
AGGAAUAUGGCAGAGAUGUCAUAGCCGCAAGGUCUGUAUACAGGUGGUGCAUGGUUGUCGUCAGCUCGUGUCGUGAGAUGUUGGGUUAAGUCCCGCAACGAGCGCAACCCUCGUUCUGUGUUGCCAGCAUUUAGUUGGGGACUCACAGGAGACUGCCGGGGUUAACUCGGCAGGAAGGUGGGGAUGACGUCAAAUCAUCAUGCCCCUUAUGUCUUGGGCUGCACGCAUGCUACAAUGGCUGGUACAAACGGCUGCAAUACCGCAAGGUGGAGCGAAUCCGAGAAAGCCAGUCUCAGUUCGGAUUGGGGUCUGCAACUCGACCCCAUGAAGUCGGAGUUGCUAGUAAUCGUAGAUCAGCAACGCUACGGUGAAUACGUUCCCGGGGCUUGUACACACCGCCCGUCACGUCACGAAAGUCGGUAAC